UUUCAGUCACUUACCGGUGAAGGCAGCGCUCUCGCGUCCUCUCCCGGUAACACUGCUGUAUAUUUGAGUGUGUAAUUAUUUUCAGUCACUUGCUGGUGAAGACUGCGCUCUCGCGUCCUCUCCCGGUAACACUGUCUUGUGUUUUCUCAAGUUAGUAGCUUACUGGUGAAGGCAGUGCUCCCUCUCCCAGUGUUCUGCUGAUGGCUCAUAUGUGUGGCGCCUGUGUGGCCCUCCUUGAGCCUGACGAUGGCCAUGAUCGCUGCCCCUCUUGCCUCGGCUUCGAGCAUUUGAGGGAGGGCCUUACCGAGAGGGCCUGUAUGAACUGCGGCUCCAUGCCCUCGGCACUCAGGCUGGCUAGGCUCGCAGCGGUGGAACAUCCGGCAGCCGUCGACCUUCCAUCAAUGGCGCCACUUCCUCCAGCUCAGCCCGGCCGUUCCUGGCGUUGGGGUAGAGCAGUGCCCCCCCCCAGGAAAAGGGCUAGGGACGAGCAAGCAUCCAAGGUGGAUCGCUUGUCGUCCGACAUGGUUAUAUUUUCUUAGUGAUAAUAGUGAUAGCCCUUGCUGUGCUUUGCUGGAUCCUCAUUUCUCUCAGAAGAAAAUCCAGGUGGUAUUCCUUUGACUUCAAGUACCCUGUACUCCUGACGGACCCUCCUGGGACCUUUGAGACCGUCAACAUGGACGGACUGAAUACUGUUGACCUUUCACCUUUGCCAGCAUCCAAUGGGGAGCGUCUCCUGGACCAGGAGGUGCUCCUGCCCUCUAGCGGCUUCCUCCCAUUUGACACUGAGCAGACUGACAGGAAGUGGGACCAAUCAGACGGAGUGUCACUUCAUAUAACAGAGGAAGAGCCGGAGAACAGCACUGCACUGUCCUGUGGUUCUACUGCACCCUAGUACUGUUACCCCGUCUCCUCCCCUCCUCUUCUCCAGGACUCCUUUCUCCUCCUUCUCUCCUCUCCUCCAGUAACCCGUCUCCUCUUCUCCAGGACUCCUUUCUCCUCCUUCUCUCCCCUCCUCUUCUCCAGGACUCCUUUCUCCUCCUUCUCUCCUCUCCUCCAGUACCCCGCCUCUUCUCCUCCUCCUUCUCAGGCUCAGACAGAAGAUAGUGGUGGAGAAACGAGACUUAAACAAACUUAAACAAAAAUACUUCAAACUGUCAAAUAUGAAAUAAAA